CCUACAUCUUAUCACGUCAAAAACUCGGUAACCUAGAAAAUAUGAAAAUUUUCACUCUCUUCGUCACCAUACUGUUCCUUGUUGUUUUCGCUUUCAUGGGGAUAGAGGGAGGACAGCCUUCGGGGGGAGGACUUCGACAGGCCCGAUCCAGCGGGGCGUCUUCCCAAUUUACGGAAGAAAUGGCUCUGGCCGAUGAGCAGGAGGAGGACGAAGAAUGAAAAGUCUGUUCGAGAUGAACUAUUACGAGAAUCCGAUAAAAUUUGAAUCUGUCCAUAUAUUUUUCUUGAACAUUAGGCAACAAAGUAAAUUAUUCAGCUGAAUUUA